rnacentral:rRNA from 1 species
UACAGAGGUCCCCAGCGUUGUUCGGAUUCACUGGGCGUAAAGGGUGCGUAGGCGGUCGGGGAAGGCUGGCGUGAAAUCUCCAAGCCUAACUUGGAAACUGCGUUGGAUACUAUCCGGCUCGAGGAAUGGAGGGGAGACUGGAAUACUUGGUGUAGCAGUGAAAUGCGUAGAUAUCAAGUGGAACACCAGUGGCGAAGGCGAGUCUCUGGACAUUUCCUGACGCUGAGGCCCGAAAGCCAGGGGAGCAAACGGG